rnacentral:snoRNA from 1 species
ACCUCAUAAUUUGGGCAUUGCAUUAACUUAUUGUUGAAUUAUUCACAAGCCUCAUAUAACGGUUCACCAUUAAGUUGGUGAAAAUUAGUGAUUUCAUCCCUUAGUU